CCUACGGGCUGCUGCAGUGGGGAAUAUUGCACAAUGGGCGAAACCCUGAUGCAGCAACGCCGCGUGAAGGAAGACGGUUUUCGGAUUGUAAACUUCUAUCAAUAGGGAAGAAAGAAAUGACGGUACCUAAAUAAGAAGCCCCGGCUAACUACGUGCCAGCAGCCGCGGUAAUACGUAGGGGGCAAGCGUUAUCCGGAAUUACUGGGUGGAAAGGGAGAGGAGGCGGCAAGAUAAGCGAUAUGUGAAAGCCUUAAGCUUAACUUAAGGAUGGCAUAACGAACUAUCUAGCUUGAGUACAGGAGAGGAAAGCGGAAUUCCUAGUGUAGCGGUGAAAUGCGUAGAUAUUAGGAAGAACACCAGUGGCGAAGGCGGCUUUCUGGACUGAAACUGACGCUGAGGCUCGAAAGCGUGGGGAGCGAACAGGAUUAGAUACCCCUGUAGUC
rnacentral:rRNA from 1 species